GAAGUUGAUUGAACAGUCGCUGUUUAAGCUUACAUAAUUAACAGAGGAAAGUCCGGGCUCCUUAGGGUAUGGUGCCAGGUAACACCUGGGAAGAGUGAUCUUACGACCAGUGCAACAGAAAAAAAACUACCAAAUAUAAAAAUAUUAUAUAAAUAUUAAAUAUUUUUAAAAUAUUUAAAAUAGGUACAGGUGAAAUGGUGCGGUAAAAGCGCACCGCAAAAUUGGUAACAAUUUUGGCUCGGUAAACUUCCACCAGGAGCAAGGUCAAGUAGAAGAGUGCGACCCGCACAUUACUUCGGGUAGACUGCUUUUGAAUUAAUAAGAAAUUAUUAAUCUAGAUAAAUGACUGUUUUUAACAGAACCCGGCUUAUAAAUCAACUUCAUGC
rnacentral:RNase_P_RNA from 1 species